rnacentral:rRNA from 1 species
AGCGUAGGCGGAUUUUUAAGUGAGAUGUGAAAUACUCGGGCUUAACCUGAGUGCUGCAUUUCAAACUGGAAGUCUAGAGUGCAGGAGAGGAGAAGGGAAUUCCUAGUGUAGCGGUGAAAUGCGUAGAGAUUAGGAAGAACACCAGUGGCGAAGGCGCUUCUCUGGACUGUAACUGACGCUGAGGCUCGAAAGUGUGGGUAGCAAACA